rfam:Candidatus Kaiserbacteria bacterium RIFCSPLOWO2_12_FTLL_45_26 rifcsplowo2_12_scaffold_0, whole genome shotgun sequence.
GCGGCCGUGGUUAAGUGGUAUAACGUGGCCUUGCCAAGGCUAAGUCGGGGUUUCGAUUACCCCCGGCCGCA